UUCCCUACGGGAGGCAGCAGUGAGGAAUAUUGGUCAAUGGGAGAGAUCCUGAACCAGCCAAGCCGCGUGAGGGAAGACGGCCCUAUGGGUUGUAAACCUCUUUUGUCGGAGAACAAAACCCGGGACGUGUCCCGGACUGCGUGUAUCCGAAGAAAAAGCAUCGGCUAACUCCGUGCCAGCAGCCGCGGUAAUACGGAGGAUGCGAGCGUUGUCCGGAUUUACUGGGUGUAAAGGGUGCGUAGGCGGGUAAGCAAGUCAGAAGUGAAAUCCAUGGGCUUAACCCAUGAACUGCUUUUGAAACUGUU
rnacentral:rRNA from 1 species